rfam:Solanum lycopersicum cultivar Heinz 1706 chromosome 10, whole genome shotgun sequence.
GUGCCAUGAAGAUAAUUGUGCAAAUGUGAAAACUUGGGUCUUCACCAUCUCUCUGAUAUAUGACGACAAAAAAGCACAUCUGAGCCU